CCACGAUCCAAUAGGACGGACAUCACAAUUCCUUUCCCUAGGGUCAAGUUAGGCCACUCAUGUUUGGACUUGGUUAGAAGAUGGCACUUGUCACAUUCCAAAUAUAGCAAAAAUGAGGCUUAAUUAUUAUUCUGUGGGGGUAAAUAUGAAUGUUUUUGUCCUUUGGAUAUGAUACUAGAACAAAGCUAAUGGCAUUUACAUAUCAAAGAGAUUUACUCAUCACUUACAAGAGACAUUCAGACUUUUUCCAAGUGUAGAACCUCACACCUUGCAGACUUCACAUCCAUAUAGUAAAAUCCUUUUCACAUUGCUAUGCCAUUCACACUACCCCUUCUGUCAUCUGACCUCUGUGGGGGUCCCAGCUUGUAACCCCUGUUGACCUCAGCAAUAGCAUCUCUGUAAUUUGUGCCAUUUACUACACAAAUUACAUUAAAAGAUGAUAUUCCAUAGUGUAAUAAUAAAUUAUACACCCUUGCCGUGACAGUCAUGACUUAUUUAAGCGUGAACUUCUAUUUCUGC